rnacentral:lncRNA from 1 species
CUUUUCCUAAUAGAGUGAUUUAAGCCUUCAUUUUUAGACAUCUAAGCCCUUGGUGAUCAUCAGCAUAAAAUGUGACAAAUUAAACAAAAGCAAGACAGCACAUCAGAGAACAACUCUGAGGUGGAAUGAUUGGGAACCAAUGAAUAGUUGUUCAGUAAAUGGUUUAUAUUUUACAGAUGAUGAAACUGAAACACAAAAAAUUUAGAUUAACUCUUAGGUGACAAAGCCAGGAUUGAAGCUCAUGCGGUCUGGCUCCAGAACAACUCUUCUUCAUAGUUACGUUAUACUGCCCCUGCAUUGUUGGUAUUGAAAAUAACUGAUACCGUGCUUCCAGAAGAUUUUUCUAACAGUGUUUGCAAGCUAUAAAAUAGUGCUUUCACUUAGAAAAGGCAUGAGCCACCGUUCCCGGCCAAGGUGGCUGUAGCUACCUUCUGCAUAUGGAUAUCCAGUUUUCCCAGCACCACUUAUUAAAGAGACUGUCUUUUCUGCAGUGUAUAUUCUUGGCACCGUUGUUGAAAAUGAAUUCAUUGUAGGUGUGUGGGUUUGUUUCUGGGUUCUCUAUUCUGUUCAACUUGUCUAUGUGUCUGUUUUUAUGCCAGUACCGUGUCAUUUUAGUUACCAGAGCUCUGCAGUAUAAUUUGAAACCAGGUCAUGUGAUUCCUCCAGUUUUGUGGUAUUAGGAUAGGUUUGGCUAUUCUGAGUCUUUUGUGGUUCCAUAUAAAUUUUAGAAUUUUUUUUUUCUA